rnacentral:rRNA from 1 species
UACGGGGGGGGCAAGCGUUGUUCGGAAUUACUGGGCGUAAAGGGCGCGUAGGCGGUCUGUUAAGUCGGAUGUGAAAACUCUGGGCUCAACCCAGAGCCUGCAUCCGAAACUGGCAGGCUAGAGUUCUGGAGGGGGUAGCGGAAUUCCUGGUGUAGCGGUGAAAUGCGUAGAUAUCAGGAGGAACACCGGUGGCGAAGGCGGCUACCUGGACAGAAACUGACGCUGGAGGCGCGAAAGCUAGGGGAGCAAACAGG